GACGAACGCUGGCGGCGUGCUUAACACAUGCAAGUCGAACGAGCAUCUUCGGGUGCUAGUGGCGAACGGGUGAGUAACACGUGAGCAACCUGCCCCUGGCUCUGGGAUAGCCUCCGGAAACGGGGAUUAAUACCGGACAUGACCUGCUGCGGCAUCGCGGCGGGUGGAAAGUUUUUCGGCCAGGGUGGGGCUCGCGGCCUAUCAGCUUGUUGGGGGGGUAACGGCCCACCAAGGCGACGACGGGUAGCCGGCCUGAGAGGGCGACCGGCCACACUGGGACUGAGACACGGCCCAGACUCCUGCGGGAGGCAGCAGUGGGGAAUAUUGCACAAUGGGGGAAACCCUGACGCAGCGACGCCGCGUGCGGGAUGAAGGCCUUCGGGUUGUAAACCGCUUUCAGCAGGGGCGAAUUUUGACGGUACCUGCAGAAGAAGCGCCGGCUAACUACGUGCCAGCAGCCGCCGUAACAC
rnacentral:rRNA from 1 species